rnacentral:rRNA from 1 species
AUUAAUAGUUAGGAUCUUUAAACCCAAAGAAUUUGGCGGUAUCUUAUUCCAUUCAGAGGAACCUACCCCAUGAUUGAUAUUACACGAUUAACUUUACUUAAUUUAUUUGUUUGUAUAUCUCCGUUAUCAGAAAAUCUUUUUAGAGUUAUAAUUUUCUUGAUUUAUAAUUAUAAAGUAUUUCAGGUCAAGGUGCAGCUUAUAAUUAAGGGGAGGUGGGUUACAAUAGAUUUUUGUCUAUAAUGGAUUUAACAUUUAAAUAUUGUUAAUGAAGGUGGAUUUGAUAGUAAUUUAAUUUAUUUAAUUUAUCUGAUAUUGGCUCUGAGAUGUGU